CCUACGGGUGGCAGCAGUGAGGAAUAUUGGUCAAUGGGCGCGAGCCUGAACCAGCCAAGUCGCGUGAAGGAUUACGGCCCUACGGGUUGUAAACUUCUUUUGUCAGGGCGCAAAUGGGUCCACGCGGGGGGUUAGCGAGAGUACCUGAAGAAAAAGCAUCGGCUAACUCCGUGCCAGCAGCCGCGGUAUACGCAGGAUGCUCGCGUUAUCCGGAUUUAGUGGGUUUAAAGGGUGCUUAGGCGGAAUAUCAAGUCAUCGGUAAAAAUUCGGCGCACAACCCCGUCGUGCCGUUGAAGCUGAUGUUAUUGAGUGGGCGAGGAGUAUGCGGAAUGCGGGGUGUCGCGGUGAAAUGCAUAGAUAUCACGCAGAACUCCGAUUGCGAAGGCAGCAUACCGGCGCCCAACUGACGCUGAAGCACGAAAGCGUGGGUAUCGAACAGGAUUAGAUACCCUAGUAGUC
rnacentral:rRNA from 1 species